GACGAACGCUGGCGGCGUGCUUAACACAUGCAAGUCGAACGGAAAGGCCCUGCUUUUGUGGGGUGCUCGAGUGGCGAACGGGUGAGUAACACGUGAGUAACCUGCCCUUGACUUUGGGAUAACUUCAGGCAACUGGGGCUAAUACCGGAUAGGAGCUCCUGCUGCAUGGUGGGGGUUGGAAAGUUUCGGCGGUUGGGGAUGGACUCGCGGCUUAUCAGCUUGUUGGUGGGGUAGUGGCUUACCAAGGCUUUGACGGGUAGCCGGCCUGAGAAGGUGACCGGCCACAUUGGGACUGAGAUACGGCCCAGACUCCUACGGGAGGCAGCAGUGGGGAAUAUUGCACAAUGGGCGGAAGCCUGAUGCAGCAACGCCGCGUGCGGGAUGACGGCCUUCGGGUUGUAAACCGCUUUCGCCUGUGACGAAGCGUGAGUGACGGUAAUGGGUAAAGAAGCACCGACUAACUACGUG
rnacentral:rRNA from 1 species